GCCCUGGUGGCAUAGUGGUUAAAUGCCUGUACUGCAACUCACUCAUAGACCACAAGGUUGCGAGUUCAAUACUAGCCAGGGCU
rnacentral:tRNA from 1 species